rnacentral:lncRNA from 1 species
CAUACUAUCCUCAUUGUUUGCAUGUUGCCAUAUUUGUAAAUCAGUGAAAAAACCUCCUCUAACAAUAGUGAUAAGGAAUACAAACCAAAAGCAAGCCUGGAUAAAAAAGCCUUAGAAGGCUGCAGAUACGCAGGUUAAAGCUACAAAAGAUGAUCAACUAGUACAAGUAGGGAAGUUAACUCAGGCCACAAAGGAUUCCAAUUUAUUAGAGGAACAAACAACAUACAAAUGGC